AUACGGAGGAUCCGAGCGUUAUCCGGAUUUAUUGGGUUUAAAGGGUGCGCAGGCGGGAGAUUAAGUCGGCGGUGAAAUUUUGCAGCUCAACUGUAAAAGUGCCUUCGAAACUGGUUUCCUUGAGUGUAGAUGAAGUAGGCGGAAUUUGUGGUGUAGCGGUGAAAUGCAGAGAUAUCACGAGGAACUCCGAUUGCGCAGGCAGCUUUCUAAACUACUACUGACGCUCAGGCACGAAGGCGUUGUGAUCAAACAGGAUUAGAUACCCUGGUAGUCCACGCAGUAAACGAUGAUUACUAGCUGUUUGCUAUACAAUGUAAGCGGCUGAGCGAAAGCGUUAAGUAAUCCACCUGGGGAGUACGUUCGCAAGAAUGAAACUCAAAGGAAUUGACGGGG
rnacentral:rRNA from 1 species